GAUGAACGCUGGCGGCGUGCCUAAUACAUGCAAGUCGAGCGAACGGACGAGAAGCUUGCUCCUCUGAUGUUAGCGGCGGACGGGUGAGUAACACGUGGAUAACCUACCUAUAAGACUGGGAUAACUUCGGGAAACCGGAGCUAAUACCGGAUAAUAUAUUGAACCGCAUGGUUCAAUAGUGAAAGACGGUUUUGCUGUCACUUAUAGAUGGAUCCGCGCUGCAUUAGCUAGUUGGUAAGGUAACGGCUUACCAAGGCAACGAUGCGUAGCCGACCUGAGAGGGUGAUCGGCCACACUGGAACUGAGACACGGUCCAGACUCCUACCGGAGGCAGCAGUAGGGAAUCUUCCGCAAUGGGCGAAAGCCUGACGGAGCAACGCCGCGUGAGUGAUGAAGGUCUUCGGAUCGUAAAACUCUGUUAUUAGGGAAGAACAAAUGUGUAAGUAACUAUGCACGUCUUGACGGUACCUAAUCAGAAAGCCACGGCUAACUACGUG
rnacentral:rRNA from 1 species